rnacentral:rRNA from 2 species
AUGGACGCAAGUCUGAUGGAGCAACGCCGCGUGAGUGAAGAAGGCUUUCGGGUCGUAAAACUCUGUUGUUGGAGAAGAAUGGUCGGCAGAGUAACUGUUGUCGGCGUGACGGUAUCCAACCAGAAAGCCACGGCUAACUACGUGCCAGCAGCCGCGGUAAUACGUAGGUGGCAAGCGUUAUCCGGAUUUAUUGGGCGUAAGGCGAGCGCAGGCGGUUUUUUAAGUCUGAUGUGAAAGCCCUCGGCUUAACCGAGGAAGUGCAUCGGAAACUGGGAAACUUGAGUGCAGAAGAGGACAGUGGAACUCCAUGUGUAGCGGUGAAAUGCGUAGAUAUAUGGAAGAACACCAGUGGCGAAGGCGGCUGUCUGGUCUGUAACUGACGCUGAGGCUCGAAAGCAUGGGUAGUGAACAGGAUUAGAUACCCUGGUAGUCCAUGCCGUAAACGAUGAAUGCUAGGUGUUGGAGGGUUUCCGCCCUUCAGUGCCGCAGCUAACGCAUUAAGCAUUCCGCCUGGGGAGUACGACCGCAAGGUUGAAACUCAAAGGAAUUGACGGGGGCCCGCACAAGCGGUGGAGCAUGUGGUU